rnacentral:tRNA from 1 species
GAGGCUUAUGGGUUUAUCAAAGGCCUGCUAAGCUUGUUGAUUUGCGGUUCAAUUCCGUUGAAGCUUCG